AGUCGGAAUCGCUAGUAAUCGCGUAUCAGAAUGACGCGGUGAAUACGUUCCCGGGCCUUGUACACACCGCCCGUCACACCAUGGGAGUGGGUUGCUCCAGAAGUGGAUAGUCUAACCUUCGGGAGGACGUUCACCACGGAGUGAUUCAUGACUGGGGUGAAGUCGUAACAAGGUAGCCCUAGGGGAACCUGGGGCUGGAUCACCUCCUUAUACGA
rnacentral:rRNA from 1 species